rnacentral:rRNA from 1 species
UACUGCUAUCGAGGUCCGACUAAGCCAUGCGAGUCGAAUGUAGCAAUACAUGGCAUACUGCUCAGUAACACGUGGACAACCUACCCUGGACACGGGGAUAAACCCGGGAAACUGGGUAUAAUACCCGAUAGUUCUGGGAAGCUGGAAUGCUCCCAGGACGAAAGCUCCGGCGGUCCAGGAUGGGUCUGCGGCCUAUCAGGUAGUAGUGGGUGUAACGUACCUACUAGCCUACGACGGGUACGGGUUGUGAGAGCAAGAGCCCGGAGAUGGAUUCUGAGACACGAAUCCAGGCCCUACGGGGUGCAGCAGGCGCGAAAACUUUACAAUGCUGGCAACAGCGAUAAGGGGACCUCGAGUGCCAGGAUACAAUCUUGGCUGUCGUGAUGCCUAAAAAGCAUUGCAUAGCAAGGGCCGGGCAAGACCGGUGCCAGCCGCCGCGGUAACACCGGCGGCUCGAGUGGUAACCGCUAUUAUUGGGUCUAAAGGGUCUGUAGCCGGCCGGAUAAGUCUUUUGGGAAA